GAUGAGCGAGGGGGAAUUGCCGGGGUAAUCCACUGGGGACAGGAUAGAAGCAGGUCAGUCAUGGGACAGCGAGUAAGAACAUCAGGCAUUGCAAGGCGAGCGGGGGGCGAGACGGGGGGGUCGUUUCGCCGUUCCCAGUGAAGAACAAGGAACGGGGGUGGGGAUUGGAACUUAUGAGCGGGGCACUGCCCUUGCUCCGGAGCUGGAUCUUACCACCUACACAACCCCACGCACCACACCAUCACGUGCACACUCGCGCCUCCCUUCUCAAACCCCAACCUCCCUCCCUCACCGCCCGCCGCAGGUGCCCAACAUGGCCGCUAACCCGCUCAACCCCAAGAAGAAGAUGAUCUCCAAGCCCUUCCAGCGCAUCUGGGACACCUAUGCGCGCCAGGCCUUCACCGGCCCGCCCGAGAACGUGCGCGACCACGUCAUGGCCGCGAGCAGGGCGCUGGCGCAGGUGGGGAGGGGGGGGGGGCAGAGGGUAGGGGGGGUGGGGGGGAGGAGGGGGGGGGUCGAGGGUGGGGGGGAGGUGGACGGUAAGGGGUUGGGGGGUGGAGCGGCGGAGGAGCGUAAGGAUGGGGUGGGGUGGGUGUUGGACGGUGGGGCGGAGGAUAGGGGUGGGGCCUGGGGAGCGAGGUGGGGGCUGGGAUAGGUGGAUGGGCGUGUGCCGCGCCGGUUGCACGUGCGUCGCCUGGCCCGUACGUGGUCACACGUGGUCACAUGCCGGCCGUCUUCCACUUCCUCAGCCUAUCAUGAAUGUAACUCCCCUCCUCCUUCUCAACCCCCUCGACCACCUCCACCUCCCCUCAGGGCGACUGGUCCAAGUCGUACGGCUACAUCAAGUCGCUGAACGCCUGGAACCUGGUGGGGCGCAAGGAGCAGUUGCUGGGUCUGCUCAAGUUGCGCAUCCAGGAGGAGGCGGUGCGCACCUACUUGCUCAGCUACGCCGGACAGUACGCCUCGCUGUCACUGGACCAGCUGGCAAGCAUGUUCGAGCUGCCAGACCGCCAGAUCUACAGGUGGGGGGUGGGGCGGGGGAGGGGGGUGUAAAUACCAGCCCAAACUACACCAAAACCAACGAAAACGAGCGGAGCACAGGCGGAGGCGUUAUGGAGGGGCAUGGGUUGGUUUGCCUGCUCGACAGGGCUUCACAUUCAGCGGCGGCGAUCGCGACGCGCGGUGGACGUCCGCAGCAUUCCCCCUCCCACAACUCGGCUCAACAGCUCCUCACCCAACUCACCUCCUACUCACCGCAUCCUCCCAACACCACCAACCUCUUGAACCCGCCGCAGCAUCGCGUCCAAGAUGAUGAUCGCGGAGGAGCUGGCGGGCAGCUGGGACCAGCCCACCCGCACCAUCGUCAUGCACGCCAACGAGGCCAGCCACGUGCAGCGCCUGGCGCUGCAGCUCGCCGACAAGGCCGCAGUGGUGGUCGACCUCAACGAGCGCGCGCUCGCCUACCGCACCGGAGGCCUGCGCGACGCCGAUGACGAGGGCGGAGCCGGCGGCGGCGGCGGCCGCCGCGGCCGCCGCGACGGCGGCCAGUGGGCCGACGACGAGGGCGGCGCGGGCGGCCGCAGCCGCGGCGGGCCGCGGGUGGGCGGGCCGCCACGGGGCAUGGGCGGCCGUGGCGGUGGAGACCGCGGUGACCGCGGCGGCGGCCGCGGUGGUGGUCGUGGUGGCGGCAUGGGCGGCGGCGCGGGCGGCGGCAUGGGCGGCGGCGGCAUGUCGGCCCUGGGCAACCUGCGCGGCGGCCCGCGCGGCGACCGCGACGGCAGCCAGCGGCCGUAGACGACGUGGGUGCGGUGGUGGUGGUGGGCUGUGUCGUGGCGGCGCGUGUGCAGUCGUGGCGGUGUGGUGGGAGCCGAGGGGUGGAGGAUGGUGGGAGCGGGUGGCAAUGAGGAGGAGAUGAGGCAGGGAGGGUGGAGGCGUGUGAAGCAUCGCAGCAGCAUUAGGCAGCGCGUGUGGUUGUGUGAUUGGNNNNNNNNNNNNNNNNNNNNNNNNNNNNNNNNNNNNNNNNNNNNNNNNNNNNNNNNNNNNNNNNNNNNNNNNNNNNNNNNNNNNNNNNNNNNNNNNNNNNGAGGGAGGGGCGAUGAGCGAGGGGGAAUUGCCGGGGUAAUCCACUGGGGACAGGAUAGAAGCAGGUCAGUCAUGGGACAGCGAGUAAGAACAUCAGGCAUUGCAAGGCGAGCGGGGGGCGAGACGGGGGGGUCGUUUCGCCGUUCCCAGUGAAGAACAAGGAACGGGGGUGGGGAUUGGAACUUAUGAGCGGGGCACUGCCCUUGCUCCGGAGCUGGAUCUUACCACCUACACAACCCCACGCACCACACCAUCACGUGCACACUCGCGCCUCCCUUCUCAAACCCCAACCUCCCUCCCUCACCGCCCGCCGCAGGUGCCCAACAUGGCCGCUAACCCGCUCAACCCCAAGAAGAAGAUGAUCUCCAAGCCCUUCCAGCGCAUCUGGGACACCUAUGCGCGCCAGGCCUUCACCGGCCCGCCCGAGAACGUGCGCGACCACGUCAUGGCCGCGAGCAGGGCGCUGGCGCAGG
rnacentral:lncRNA from 1 species